rnacentral:rRNA from 1 species
GAUGAACGCUAGCGGCAGGUCUAACGCAUGCAAGUCGAGGGGGAAGUUACUUUCGGGUGACUGAGACCGGCGUACGGGUGCGUAACGCGUAUACAAUCUGCCUUUCACUGGGGGGUAGCCCGAAGAAAUUUGGAUUAAUACCCCAUAGUAUAUAGGGACGGCAUCGUUUUUAUAUUAAAGCUUAGGUGGUGAAAGAUGAGUAUGCGUUCUAUUAGCUAGUUGGAGAGGUAACGGCUCCCCAAGGCGAUGAUAGAUAGGGGUUCUGAGAGGGAUGUCCCCCACACUGGUACUGAGAUACGGACCAGACUCCUACGGGAGGCAGCAGUGAGGAAGAUUGGACAAUGGUCGGAAGACUGAUCCAGCCAUGCCGCGUGCAGGAUGAAGGUCUUAUGGAUUGUAAACUGCUUUUGUAAGGGAAGAAUAAGGGCUACGCGUAGUUUGAUGACGGUACCUUACGAAUAAGCAUCGGCUAACUCCGUG